GAUUGAACGCUGGCGGCAUGCCUUACACAUGCAAGUCGAACGGCAGCACGGGUGCUUGCACCUGGUGGCGAGUGGCGAACGGGUGAGUAAUACAUCGGAACAUGUCCUGUAGUGGGGGAUAGCCCGGCGAAAGCCGGAUUAAUACCGCAUACGAUCUACGGAUGAAAGCGGGGGACCUUCGGGCCUCGCGCUAUAGGGUUGGCCGAUGGCUGAUUAGCUAGUUGGUGGGGUAAAGGCCUACCAAGGCGACGAUCAGUAGCUGGUCUGAGAGGACGACCAGCCACACUGGGACUGAGACACGGCCCAGACUCCUACGGGAGGCAGCAGUGGGGAAUUUUGGACAAUGGGCGAAAGCCUGAUCCAGCAAUGCCGCGUGUGUGAAGAAGGCCUUCGGGUUGUAAAGCACUUUUGUCCGGAAAGAAAUCCUUGGCUCUAAUACAGUCGGGGGAUGACGGUACCGGAAGAAUAAGCACCGGCUAACUACGUGCCAGCAGCCGCGGUAAUACGUAGGGUGCGAGCGUUAAUCGGAAUUACUGGGCGUAAAGCGUGCGCAGGCGGUUUGCUAAGACCGAUGUGAAAUCCCCGGGCUCAACCUGGGAACUGCAUUGGUGACUGGCAGGCUAGAGUAUGGCAGAGGGGGGUAGAAUUCCACGUGUAGCAGUGAAAUGCGUAGAGAUGUGGAGGAAUACCGAUGGCGAAGGCAGCCCCCUGGGCCAAUACUGACGCUCAUGCACGAAAGCGUGGGGAGCAAACAGGAUUAGAUACCCUGGUAGUCCACGCCCUAAACGAUGUCAACUAGUUGUUGGGGAUUCAUUUCCUUAGUAACGUAGCUAACGCGUGAAGUUGACCGCCUGGGGAGUACGGUCGCAAGAUUAAAACUCAAAGGAAUUGACGGGGACCCGCACAAGCGGUGGAUGAUGUGGAUUAAUUCGAUGCAACGCGAAAAACCUUACCUACCCUUGACAUGGUCGGAAUCCCGCUGAGAGGUGGGAGUGCUCGAAAGAGAACCGGCGCACAGGUGCUGCAUGGCUGUCGUCAGCUCGUGUCGCGAGAUGUUGGGUUAAGUCCCGCAACGAGCGCAACCCUUGUCCUUAGUUGCUACGCAAGAGCACUCUAAGGAGACUGCCGGUGACAAACCGGAGGAAGGUGGGGAUGACGUCAAGUCCUCAUGGCCCUUAUGGGUAGGGCUUCACACGUCAUACAAUGGUCGGAACAGAGGGUUGCCAACCCGCGAGGGGGAGCUAAUCCCAGAAAACCGAUCGUAGUCCGGAUUGCACUCUGCAACUCGAGUGCAUGAAGCUGGAAUCGCUAGUAAUCGCGGAUCAGCAUGCCGCGGUGAAUACGUUCCCGGGUCUUGUACACACCGC
rnacentral:rRNA from 1 species